CGGCCGCGGUAUCCUGACCGUGCAAAGGUAGCAUAAUCACUUGUUCCCUAAUUAGGGACUAGAAUGAAUGGCCAAACGAGGAUUCAACUGUCUCUUAUUUUUUANUCAGUGAAAUUGACCUUUCAGUGAAGAGGCUGAAAUACUAAAAUAAGACGAGAAGACCCUAUGGAGCUUAAAUUAAAAGUUUAAUUUUACUCUUAUUAACCUAAUGGUUUAACACAAAAAUUUUAAACUCUAAAUUUCGGUUGGGGUGACCUCGGAGAACAAAAAAUCCUCCGAAUGAUUCUAACAUAGACCAACAAGUCAAAGUAACCCAAAGAUCUUAUUGACCCAAAAAUUUUUUGAUCAACGGACCAAGUUACCCUAGGGAUAACAGCGCAAUCCUAUUUUAGAGUCCAUAUCGACAAUAGGGUUUACGACCUCGAUGUUGGAUCAGGACAUCCCAAUGGUGCA
rnacentral:rRNA from 1 species